rnacentral:rRNA from 1 species
AGCGGAGGAAAAGAAAAUAACAAUGAUUUCCUUAGUAACGGCGAGUGAACAGGAAAAAGCUCAAAGUUGGAACCUGUUUGGCCUAGCUAAACCGGAUUGUAAACUGUAGAAGUGUUUUCCAGGCAAGCCGGACCGAUAAGUCCUUUGGAACAGGGCAUCAUAGAGGGUGAGAAUCCCGUCUUCGGUCUGAGCAUUUGCCUUUUGCGAUACACUUUCAAAGAGUCAGGUUGUUUGGGAAUGCAGCCUAAAUUGGGUGGUAAAUCUCACCUAAAGCUAAAUAUUGGCGAGAAACCGAUAGCGAACAAGUACCGUGAGGGAAAGAUGAAAAGAACUUUGAAAAGAGAGUUAAACAGUAUGUGAAAUUGUUAAAAGGGAACCGUUUGGAGCCAGACUGGCUUGUCUGUAAUCAGUCUAAGCUUCGGCUUGGAUGCACUUGCAGGCUAUGCCUGCCAACGACAAUUUGGCUUGAGGGAAAAAACUAAGGGAAAUGUGGCCCAUCCGUGGGUGUUAUAGUCCCUUAGAAAAUACCUUGGGCUGGAUUGAGGUACGCAGCGAAUGCUAUUUGGCGAGUUGGCUGGGAAUAUUUUCUGAGGUGCUUUGGUACUGAGGUUGAUAU